CCUUUUGGUUGGGGAGAUGGGGUUAACUGGCCGUCUCGUGGUUGUGUGUGUGUGUAUUUGGGGGUUUCUUUCUCUGCCCCCUCCCCACCCUCCAAACUCUUCCACCCCAUGUUAUUUUUCUGUGGCUAGAUAUUGUUGCUGUGUCCUGCGUCAGACCAAUGGAAUGAAGGUACAGGUUGUAAAAUGUCACUGCGUAGUUAUAAUGCAGAUUCAGGGAGAGAGGGAAGAGAGAACAGUAGUUUUGCAGAGGUUAUAAUCUAAUACCACCCUCCCUUCUUCACUUUUUACAGUUGGCACAUCAAGGAGUUGGCAAAAGGGUUAACAAGACUCUCUUAAUGUUUAAAUCUGAAAGGCUGUAUCUGCAUAGUUUAGAAAGUGGUAAAUGAUGACGCAGUGAUCUUUGCCUGGCAUGUUAUUAAGCUUAACAAGCAUCAAGGGGGACAGGUACACUCUGGCUCCCCAGACCAGCUGAAAGAGUCUGAGUUAAGAAGGGCAGAUAGCAUUUAGGCAUUAAAUGUCAUCAUUUUGGCGUUGGAAAGUUGUUUACCUUGCUCUCUCCGUGUCUCCAUGUUGGCAGUCUUCCAGCUCACAUGUGAUAGUCUUCCCUGUACUGCUGCAUCAUUAACUGAGUGUCUGAGCCUGCACAUGAUUGGCUGGGGAGGGCUCUCAUUCUAAACAUACAUUUCCAUUGGAGGCAGAGGCAGUGGCAGGUGAAAAGCUGCCUUGGAUUGGCUGAGUCUGGGAUAUCAAAUCUAAAUGUGCCGUUCCCCUUUCUUUAAAAGGGGCUUUGAACAGUUUGUGACUUAAAAUAUCGGCUGUUUGCUUCCCCCUCCCUUCUCCCUUACAGCAGGCAUUGUGGAAUGUGUCUGUGUUCUAGGAGCUUGUCAUUUAAAGAGAAAAGUAAAAAAAAAGCAGGAACUUGACAAUUGUGGAUUAGUUUAGUUUAUUACUGGUGCAAGUGACGCAGAAGGAAAAACAAAUAUUCUGUGACUCGAGUUGCAUCAGUGACAGGCGUGUUUCCGGCUGCUGUGAGACAAGCCACGAUGACGUGACAUUAUUAUAGGCUUCAGAGGAGACAACAAAAAGAGACUUUUGUGGGUGUCUACCUCUGCCUAGUACUCUGUCUUCUCAAGUGUUGUUUCAAGAUGUAUACCUACCAACAAGCUUUAAAACCCUGGGAAAAGGUGGAGAAGCUUAGUCUGCUUUUCACAUUUGCUAGCUCCAGGGGGAAAGAGUAAUAACCAGGAAGCCAUUUCUGGAAAGAGAGACAGACAUGAUGCGUGAAGCAAGGAAAGCAGGGAGACUCGGCAAAUGAACCCCUCCCAUCUCAACACUUUGUACGCACCUUCGUUUUCCCUUUCUCUUCUCUUUUACCAAAUGUUAUGCUUUAUUUGGAAUGCUUUAAUUGUAGGUGCAUUACUUUCUCUCUCUUUUCUCCCCCCCCCCGGCCCGGUGUGAGUCCUUGCUCUGCAGAGCAGUCUCCUCCGGAGGCAGUCUUGCAUCCUGCAGUGCUAGUUCCGCAGAGGAGGGCAACAGGAGACACAACUAUGGUGGCUGCUCCAGUGAAGGGAUGGACUCAGUGCCAGGAUCGUACUUGUUCGUGGCAGGAGCAGGGAGAAUACAUGCAGCUGGCAGUGCCUUGCUCUUGGAUAAUCAUAGAUGAGAUGCCCGAACAGGCCCUGAUUUGGAGAGAACAAUGCUGAACAGCAGAAACCUCAUCCCUUCUAGCUCUAGCUGUUGUUUUCUGGUCCUUGGUACCUUCUACACCUGAUGCGGCUGGCUAUAGUUUGAGGAUGAAUUCUGAAAAGGAAAGUCAUCAAGAAUCCUUACUGAAGUAAAUAAAUUUAAGGAAAAGAGAUGUUGCAGAUUCCAGGUCAAUUUUGCUCAUCUGGUUUCAUAUGACUGAAUUAUAGAUAUCUGAUCCAAAGAUGACUUUCUUCACCACUAGUAAGUAUGAAACAUGGAGUUUACACCUUAGUAAUACAUAGACAAUGCUAUCCACAAAAUAAAUAUGCAGUGACUGACAUGACGGACAUAUAUUCUGGCAACAAACAGUGCUUUUUCAGGGAGAGAAGUAAAAAAUUGCUUCCUUAUCUCCCGCACUCCCAGAUCUGCCCUACCCAUCAAGCCUGCAGCAUAACUACUCUGAAGGUUCCCUGCUUCAACACAGCUCUGAUCCUGUCAAUGAAUCCCUGCCCAUCAUGUCAGCCAACAAAGUUAACGCAUGCAAUUUAUAGAUUGCAGUCUAAAUAUUUUUUAUUUAGGAUACUAUCAUAACAUGAUGGAGAGAAGGAAUAAUUGAUUGGAAUCUGCUGCUUCUACUCAUGGGAUCAGAAGAAAAGACAGCAGGAAUUGAUUACAAAGCAAUUGAAACAGUCAUCAUAAUGUAUAACUUUUAUCACACUGAUCAAGAUGCCAUGAAAAAUUAAGAGACAUAGCCCUAUGGUGAAUUUACAAAAUUAUUAAGAAAUCUAUGUACUCAGAGAAAACAUAUUUGAUUUGCAGAAACACACACACACAAAUGAUAUGAUCAAUACACCAGGAAGGAGUUAUGGUAAUAAUGCUCAAAUUUUUUAAUACCAAUAAAUUGUAGAAAUGUCCAUUAAUAUGCAAUGAGUGAGCAAGAUUAACUACUUAGAACAGAAGAAAAGGUCAUUCACACAUAGUGGUUAGAGUGCUGGAUUAGGAACGGGGAGACCUGAUUUUAAAUCCCCAUUCAAUCAUGAAACUCACUGGGUGACUCUGGGCCAGUCAUGUAUCUCUCAGCCUAACCUACCUCACAGGGUUGUUGUGAGGAUAAACAUAACCUCUUGGCUCCUUUGAGGAAAAGCAGGAUACAUGUAAAAAUAAAAUAAAAUAAAAUAGUUUCUGGUGGCUAGGAAGGGCUGGGGUGGGGUGGAGCCAAGAUUAUACCUGCCUUCCUCCACACGACCACAGGGAUCCUCUCACUGUGCUGCUUGGCUGCACACACAAGCAGCAAGGCAAGCAGCACGGCAUUCUGGAGGCUGGGGAAACACAUCUUGGCCCCCACAAAUCCCACGAUGCACGGUGCAAGGAUCACGGUGCAUUGAAAGAUUUCCCCACAGUCUGCUCAGGCUGCAGGCAGCCCAAGCAGACACACAAUGGGGGACCAGGGUGGAAGGGCACACUUGUGCCCUUAUACCUUGGUAAUAGCCCUCGGCGGGGUGGGGGAGACCUCGGGCUACCCAACAGGGCAGCACCACAAUUGGGAUUGAUCCCGUCACUCCACAUGAACAGCCCUACCCUGUAGGGCUGUGCAAGCCUGAGUAGGGCUUCUUGUGUGAACAGCCUUGAACAGUUUUGUACAGAGAUCAAUAUUACUUAGUAUUGGUCUACGUUAACUGGCAGUGGGCCUCCAGGGUUUCAGAUCAGGGUCUUUCCCAGCCCUACCUGGAGAGUCAGAAGUUACAUCUGGAACUUCUGCAUGGAAAGCAUAUGCUCUACCCUGCAGCUACAGCAAAACUGAUCUACUUGAUUCAUUUUUGCGCUAUAGUCCUGAAACUUACAAAAUGGGUUUUAUUCAGGACUAUUGUCCUUAAAUAUAUAAAAUGCUGUAACCUUCACUUGGAAGAGAGAACCUGAUCCUGUCUGCAUGCACUAAAGAGAUGGCAGAAGGGCUGUUGCCUGAUUUUUGUGCAGAAAACGCAAAGGACAUGGAGCAUGAUAUGAUGGACAGUGCACCAUCAGCAGCACAGGUACUUCAGUGGCCGAUAUUUUAAAGGAACAUAUUUCUGCUUUUGCGAACAAGCCAGGCAGAAUCACUCUAGCUACUCAUCAAAUCCUCAGUUAGAAUGCAACACCUAUGGUUUCUGGUUCCUACCAAGCAACAGGAAAACAUGCCAUGUGUUUUACAUGAGAAAUAGAUCAUGUACUGGCUCUGGAUGGACAGGGUCUUGUGGCAGCAAGCAUGACUUGUCCCCUUAGCUAAGCACGGUCCACCCUAGUGGCAUAUGAAUGGGAGACUAGAAGUGUGGGCACUGUAAGAUAUUCCCCUCAGGGGAUGGAGCUGUUCUGGGAAGAGCAGAAGGUUUCAAGUUCCCUCCCUGGCUUCUCCAAGAUAGGGCUGAGAAAGAUUCUUGCUGUCAACCUUGGAGAAGCCGCUGCCAGUCUGCGUAGACAAUACUGAGCUAGAUGGACCUAUGGUCUGACUCAGUAUAUGGCAGCUUCCUAUGUUCCUAUGGAUGCAAUAGUCUACUAUGGUACAAAUAGUGGACUCUGCUACAGGGGCUGUGCUGCUCUAAACUGGAUCCAGUGGAGUGCUACAUUCUGUGGUGUCCCUUUCCUCUGUUAGCAGCUUCUUACCACAGGAGCUUUAUCAAGGUAGGAAAAACGUCUAUUAUGUGGGCAUUUAGCUAACUAAAACAAACUAAAACUAAACUUGUGCGGUAGCUCUAGUUUGAAGCUUCCGAGGUGUGAUCUUCUGAGUACAUUCUGAGUACCCAGAAUGUUGGGGGCAAUAUGCUAAAUCAUUGUAAACCGCUUAGAGAGCUCCGGCUAUAGAGCGGUAUAUAAAUGUAAGUGCUAUUGCUAUUGCUAUUCUCAUGCAGGACUUUAACUUGUAUGUUAAAAACCAUUUUUUAAAAGCAGCAUAUACUGCCAUUGCAGAUGCUCUGCAUUCCAGUAAUGUACCCUAUACUUAAGCACUUGCAGUCGUUAACAUGUUACUGGGUGCCCAGCUGCCUAACAGUGGAAGUUAUUUACGUUUUAGUGGCUAAAUAGCUUUGUACUAGCUAUUUAGUACAACUAAGUAGCUACUUACCACCCAGAAUAUUUAUCAAGAGUAUUAGUGCUCUUGUCAGGAGGAAGUGUGUUUGCAUCGAGAUUUCUUUUUGCAUGGUGUUUUGAUCAUUUAAUAUGCACUCAUGCACAUUGGUAACCAAUCAGCAAAUAAGAGGAAAAGCCCUCUGCUAACCGAGCAAAGAGGCUUUAUUUAAUGUGGUGAUUCUCUUUAUUGAGCCGAUGAAGUGCAACUGGCCCUAUCCAUCCCCAGCACAGCAUCCCUCCAGUGGCUGUUGCUGGUGUCUGCCUUAUGUUUCUUUUUUUAGAUUGUGAGCCCUUUGAGGACAGGAAGCCAUUUUAUUUAUAUCUAUGUAAACCACUUUGGGAACUUUGGUAGAAAAGUGGUAUAUUAAUAUUUGUCAUAUUUGUAUGAAAACUAUGGAAAAUUGUACAUGUACAGUGGUCUGAACAAGGUUUGGAUAUUAAACUGACUAUUGUUAGAUCACUAA